CAAUAGCGUAUAUUAAUGUUGUUGCAGUUAAAAAGCUCGUAGUUGGAUUUCUGGUGGGAGCGGCCGGUCCGCCGUAAGGUGUGUACUUGGUUGUCUCCUGUCAUCCUUGUGGGAACUGCUCUGGCAUUAAGUUGUCGGGGUUAGGGAACACAUCGUUUACUGUGAAAAAAUUAGAGUGUUCAAAGCAGGCUUAUGCCGUUGAAUAUAUUAGCAUGGAAUAAUAAGAUAGGACUUUGGUACUAUUUUGUUGGUUUGCGCACCAAAGUAAUGAUUAAUAGGGACAGUUGGGGGUAUUCGUAUUCCGUUGUCAGAGGUGAAAUUCUUGGAUUUACGGAAGACGAACUACUGCGAAAGCAUUUACCAAGGAUGUUUUCAUUAA
rnacentral:rRNA from 1 species